rnacentral:tRNA from 2 species
GGGCCCGUAGCUCAGUGGUAGAGCAGUUGGCUUUUAACCAAUUGGUCGUAGGUUCGAUCCCUACCGGGCUCACCA